GGGUAGGUGCCGGAGUCUGGUCAAUCGGGUCAGUCUGUAAAACUGAUGCCUUCGGGCUACGCAGGUUCAAAUCCUGCCCUACCCA
rnacentral:tRNA from 1 species